rnacentral:rRNA from 1 species
UACAGAGGGUGCAAACGUUGCUCGGAAUUACUGGGCGUAAAGCGCGUGUAGGCGGUCACGCAAGUCAGGUGUGAAAGCCCAGGGCUCAACCCUGGAAGUGCACAUGAUACUACGUGGCUGGAGUACUGAAGAGGAGAGCGGAAUUCCCGGUGUAGAGGUGAAAUUCGUAGAUAUCGGGAGGAACACCAGUGGCGAAGGCGGCUCUCUGGGCAGAUACUGACGCUGAGACGCGAAAGCGUGGGUAGCAAACAGG